rnacentral:rRNA from 1 species
AUGAACGCUGGCGGCGUGUCUAAGGCAUGCAAGUCGAACGGACUAAGUUGUGAUUAUAUCAAUGCUUAGUUAGUGGCAAACGGGUGCGUAACACAUUGGUAACCUACCUUCAAGACGGGCACAACUCUUCGAAAGAGGAGCUAAUUCCCGAUGGUCAUGCAAGGACGUAAGUCUUUGCAUGUAAAGUCGUAAGACACUUGAAGAGGGGCCUAUGGUCUAUCAGCUAGUUGGUGAGGUAAUGGCUCACCAAGGCUUUGACGGAUAGCAGGCGUGAGAGCGCGACCUGCCUCAGUGGGACUGAGACACUGCCCACACUCCUACGGGAGGCUGCAGUCAAGAAUAUUCCCCAAUGGCCGAAAGGCUGAGGGAGCGACGCCGCGUGCAGGAAGAAGGCCUUCGGGUCGUAAACUGCUUUUACCAGGGACGAACAAAUGACGGUACCUGGUGAAUAAGAGGUUGCUAACUCUGU